GAUGAACGCUGGCGGCGUGCCUAAUACAUGCAAGUCGAGCGAACAGACGAGGAGCUUGCUCCUCUGACGUUAGCGGCGGACGGGUGAGUAACACGUGGAUAACCUACCUAUAAGACUGGGAUAACUUCGGGAAACCGGAGCUAAUACCGGAUAAUAUAUUGAACCGCAUGGUUCAAUAGUGAAAGACGGUUUUGCUGUCACUUAUAGAUGGAUCCGCGCCGCAUUAGCUAGUUGGUAAGGUAACGGCUUACCAAGGCAACGAUGCGUAGCCGACCUGAGAGGGUGAUCGGCCACACUGGAACUGAGACACGGUCCAGACUCCUACGGGAGGCAGCAGUAGGGAAUCUUCCGCAAUGGGCGAAAGCCUGACGGAGCAACGCCGCGUGAGUGAUGAAGGUCUUCGGAUAGUAAAACUCUGUUAUUAGGGAAGAACAAAUGUGUAAGUAACUAUGCACGUCUUGACGGUACCUAAUCAGAAAGCCACGGCUAACUACGUG
rnacentral:rRNA from 1 species